CCUUCUAAUUACCAAUUUACCAUCACCUACAGGCUACAGCCAGAAAAAAAAACAGAGAGGCAAAGAUAAGCGACCAAAGUGAUAUAGAAACGCAGUCGCUAAUCCCUCAUUCUCUCUCUCAAAACUCUCUUCAUGAAAAUGAACUGGUCUUCGCCUACAAGUGUGUGCAGUUCAUUCAGUUCUUUAUCAUGGAGGAGCUCUUCCAUCUCUUCCGUUGAGCUAGGGUUUCAGUUUAACAAUUCCACUGGAUUUUCCGUUUCUUCUUCCCAUAGCAGAAAAUUCUCUCGAAGCAGAAAAUUCCACGUCUCUUGUUCUUCUUCUUCUCCCUCUUCUGAUCCACUUUUGGUUAAGGCUGCUAGAGGAGAACCUGUAAAUAGGCCUCCAGCAUGGAUGAUGCGUCAGGCAGGAAGGUAUAUGGCUGUUUACAGAAAGCUUGCAGAGAAAUACCCAUCCUUCAGAGAGAGAUCAGAGACAACUGAUCUCAUUGUGGAAAUUUCUUUGCAGCCCUGGGAAGCUUUUCAUCCAGAUGGUGUUAUUAUUUUCUCCGACAUACUCACACCUUUACCUGCAUUUGGUGUCCCAUUUGACAUAGAAGAAGUGAGGGGGCCAGUUAUUCAAACUCCAAUUCGUUCUGAAGAAGGGUUAAAUGCUUUACAUCCCAUUGAGCUGGAGAAACUCCACUUUGUAGGGGACUCUCUUAGAAUUUUGCGACGCGAGGUUGAUGGGCGUGCUGCAGUAUUGGGUUUUGUUGGAGCACCUUGGACUAUUGCUACAUAUAUAGUGGAAGGGGGUACAACUCGCACAUAUACUACCAUAAAGAGCAUGUGCCAUACAGCACCAAAUGUAUUAAGGACUCUUCUCACUCAUUUGACACAGGCAAUAGCUGAUUACAUUGUUUACCAAGUGGAAUCUGGGGCUCAUUGCAUACAAAUAUUUGAUUCCUGGGGUGGACAACUACCACCCAACAUGUGGGACUGUUGGUCAAAGCCAUAUAUUGAAGAGAUAGUUCGUAAAGUAAGGAAUAAGUGCCCGGAAACACCACUUGUUCUCUACAUUAAUGGAAAUGGUGGUCUUCUUGAGCGUAUGAAAGGAACUGGAGUUGAUGUGAUUGGGUUAGACUGGACUGUGGAUAUGGCAGAUGGAAGGAAGCAUUUGGGUAGCGGGAUCAGUGUACAGGGAAAUGUGGAUCCUGCUUAUUUGUUUUCACCUUUACCUGCAUUGACUGAUGAAAUACAACGGUUGGUGACAAAAUAAAUUUACUGACCAAACUUCUAUUACCACGAUAUUCAAUGUUGUUGCCUACUUGGAGCUACACUUGAAUCAAGUUGUGGCAUGUGCUGGGCCAAGAGGACAUAUUCUUAAUCUUGGACAUGGUGUUCUUGUUGGUACUCCUGAAGAAGCUGUUGCUCAUUUCUUUAAUGUUGCAAGGAGCUUGAACUUUGAAGCUCCUUUUCAAAAUCAUGUGGCUGGAGAACCAGAAUUGGUUGUUUGAGUGAUUUUAACAAUUUUGAAGUGUUAAUUGUGAGUUGAUGCCUUAUUCAUCAUUGUGACUGCUUACGAGUGAGUUGAGAUUGCACAAUUUUGAGGCACUGAUUGGAGCUUUGAGGUCCUGUAUAUGUGUGUGCUCUGGGUAACUUGUUACCAUCAAUUGUAUUUGUAAUUAAAAUAUUCAAUAUGAGCCAACAAAUCUCUCAUUGAUUGUGGUAGAUAUAUGUUAGAUGAGCAUGUAUGUAUUCUUACCUUUCUAUUGGACCUAGAUAUUCUGAAAAGGUUCUUCCUCAGUUUAUUUUAACAGAUGGAUAACUGAAUUUCUAAAAUAGAUGACUCAGUUAUAUUUA